GAUGAACGCUGGCGGCGUGCCUAAUACAUGCAAGCCGAGCGAAUGGAUUAAGAGCUUGCUCUUAUGAAGUUAGCGGCGGACGGGUGAGUAACACGUGGGUAACCUGCCCAUAAGACUGGGAUAACUCCGGGAAACCGGGGCUAAUACCGGAUAACAUUUUGAACCGCAUGGUUCGAAAUUGAAAGGCGGCUUCGGCUGUCACUUAUGGAUGGACCCGCGUCGCAUUAGCUAGUUGGUGAGGUAACGGCUCACUAAGGCAACGAUGCGUAGCCGACCUGAGAGGGUGAUCGGCCAAAGUGGGACUAGGACACGGCCCAGACUCCUGCGGGAGGCAGCAGUAGGGAAUCUUCCGCAAUGGACGAAAGUCUGACGGAGCAACGCCGCGUGAGUGAUGAAGGCUUUCGGGUCGUAAAACUCUGUUGUUAGGGAAGAACAAGUGCUAGUUGAAUAAGCUGGCACCUUGACGGUACCUAACCAGAAAGCCACGGCUAACUACGUGCCAGCAGCCGCCGUAC
rnacentral:rRNA from 1 species